GCUUCAGUGGCCUAUUGGUUAGAGCGUCUGCCUUGGAUGCGGGAGGUCGCAGGUUCAAAUUCCGGUCGAGUU